rnacentral:ncRNA from 1 species
UUGGUCCUAGCCCUUCUAUUAGCCAUCAGUAGGAUUACACAUGCAAGUAUCAGCAUCCCGGUGAAAACGCCCUUUUAAUCAUCAGUGAUAAAAAGGAGCGGGUAUCAAGCACACUGUACAAGUAGCUAAAGACACCUCGCCUAGCCACACCCCCACGGGAUACAGCAGUGACAAAAAUUAAGCCAUGAACGAAAGUUUGACUAAGCCAUACUGACCCAUAGGGUUGGUAAAUUUCGUGCCAGCCACCGCGGUCAUACGAUUAACCCAAGUUAAUAGAUAAACGGCGUAAAACGUGUUAAGGAAACCAUCCACCCAAUAAAGUUAAAUCUUAGACUAUGCUGUAGAAAGCUUUAGCCCAGAUAAAAAUAAACCACGAAGGUGACUUUAAACAAUCCGAUCACACGAUAGCUAAGACACAAACUGGGAUUAGAUACCCCACUAUGCUUAGCCCUAAACCUAAGUAGCCUAAACAACGAUGCUACUCGCCAGAGUACUACUAGCAACAGCUUAAAACUCAAAGGACUUGGCGGUGCUUUACAUCCCUCUAGAGGAGCCUGUUCUGUAAUCGAUAAACCCCGAUAAACCUCACCAACUCUUGCUAAUACAGCCUAUAUACCGCCAUCUUCAGCAAACCCUAAAAAGGAAACAAAGUAAGCAAAACCAUGAAACAUAAAAACGUUAGGUCAAGGUGUAGCCUAUGAGUUGGAAAGAAAUGGGCUACAUUUUCUAGCAUAGAACAUCAACGAAAAUUUUCGUGAAACCGAAAAUAGAAGGAGGAUUUAGUAGUAAAUUAAGAAUAGAGAGCUUAAUUGAAUAAGGCCAUGAAGCACGCACACACCGCCCGUCACCCUCCUCGAGUAUAAAGAUACAAAUACUCAACCCUAUUAAUAAAUGUACACGCAUAUGAGAGGAGAUAAGUCGUAACAAGGUAAGCGUACUGGAAAGUGCGCUUG